CAUCUUGACACCAUGAGUGACAGACAGAUGUGGUAGCCCAGCGGCCUCAUACCCUGAGCUGGUUUUCAGUUAUUGGCAGCUUUAUGCUAUAGUAUCAACAGCCCUGUGGAGCAAAUCACGGAUGAAGAGGAGGAAGGACAGAAAAACUUAGCUUCCUCCAAGCCACAAAGCCAGGAAGUGACAGACAUAAUUGCAACCGAAGCCCUUACUCUCUAGUGUUUCACAGAUGCCGACCAGAACCCGCUGAAGUGCAAAGCAUGCUGGGAGAACUCAUGGCAUCAAAGGAUGAACUCAACAAGCAGGAAGGCAAGAACCGGGACAGCCUCAGGGCCAACAUCCAAAAAGCACUGUCAAAGAGUCCAAUUGGUCCCAGAUAUCCAUUGUUAGAACUGAAGGGAGCUAGCAGAGGACGAGAUAGAGCCAACAAAUCCCCAGCUGGAAGAAGGAAGAGGCAGUAUACGUCACAGCUGGUGCCGUGGAUGGAUUGGAGGGGACAUGGGUGGGUGCAGAGGAGAGCCAGAGGUAGAGACCGAGGGUAAAUGAAAAGGGGAGUAAAGGAGACAAGGUCAGACAAGCAACUGUUUCAAGCUAGGA